GCAGGCAACAGCCUCCUCAACUUUCUCCCAGAGCCACUCGUCAGCUCUGGAGAGGAUCCCUGCCGUCGAGAAUCUCAAGUGGAUUCAUCGGACUUCUGUAUUCAGUGGCAAGGGUGAUGCAACUCUCUUCUGGCUGCUGCAGGUUCUCCGGCACUCUCAUUGGUGGUUUGCCAACACCGCCAUGCCAGCACCAGGUGAAAACAGGCCUGGACAUGCUCAGAGACAACCUGUUUUACUGCAUUCAGAUGGUUGCCCUACCCAGGACAGGUGUUUGACUCCUCACUGAAGGAGUAACGCUAGAAUCCAAUCUGGAGCUAGUGACUUUGUUUCAACUGCUGGACCACCCCCCCGGAUGUUAUCUUGCUAUGCAACAGUUCAC